AUACAAGCAGUGGUGGGGAUAUAUAAAAGCUGAAAGCCCGAGAACAAAAUCAAAGGAGGGGUAUUGUUCUGUACAGCAUCACUGUCUUACUCAGAUACAAUAAAACUUCUGACUUUCCUCCUACAGCCUCAGGACAAGGGCUAGGCUUUCUUCCCCCUUUCCUUCCUGCCAGAAUGGAGAUGGGGUCAGAAUUAUCCCUCAGAGAGUAUCCCUUCCUUAUAAGGGAAUGACCACAUGUUAAAUUAAUCCAAGAAUCAGGCUCCAGGUUCAUCUUGAAACAAGGAUAGCCACACUAAACCAAGUCUCUGCUAUGGCAUUUUCCGAUUUUUACCAAGCUAGCAAUAUCAAGACCUUCUCUGGUUCUUCCAGGCACUGCCAUGUAUGUUCCUUGGAAACUGCAUAGACUUAACAGCUGAUGUUAUGAUCUGUUUCUGAGCUGCAUUCUAGUGUAGAUUUUACAGUAACAUUUUCUAAGUACUCUUUAGGUACACAAGACAAGUUAAUAUGGAAAGAUUUUAAUGAAUGCAGAAAACCUGGAAUCUAUUCACUGAUCUUUCUUCUAAUGAAAGAACAAAAGAAUACAAAAACAUUAAGUUCAAAUCAAGUAUUUUAAGAAUAGUAUCAUGCCACUGAGAUAGUUCAGUGAGAAAAGGCACUUUCUGCACAAGUCUAGCAACUUGAACUUGACUCCCAGAAUCCACAGAAAGAAUAGUUUCUGCUUCCUGGGCAGUGGUGGCACACCCCUUUAAUCUCAGUACUCCAGAGGCAGAGGCAGGUGGAUCUCUGUGAGUUCAAAGCCAGCCUGGUCUACAGAGUGAGUUCGAGGACAGCCAGGGCUACACAGAGAAACCGUAUCUCAAAACAACAACAAUCACAACAAAAACAAAAACAAAAACAAAAAAAACUCAAAAAACCCUUUCUGCUCUUCCAGACUAAGACUACAUGGGUUCAGUUUCCAGCACCUACAUGUUGGGUCACAACUGAUGCCCUGUUCUGGCCUUUGUGAGCACUGCAUUCAUGUGGUACACAGACAUGCAUGCAGGUGAAACACUCAUACAUAAAAUAAAAAUAAAUAAAUCUUUAAGAGAAAAAGAUGGACAUAGAGAACUGACUCUACAAAGUUGUUCUGUGUACCCACAUACACAUACAUCAUAGACACACAUAAAAGUAAAUAAACGAGUAUCAUCUAAACAAAAUUAAACUAUUUGAAUGUUAAACAUAUAAAAUAAAACAAAACCAGAAAACUUUUAUAAUACCUAAAAUAAAGCCAGACGUGGUGGCAAACACCUUUAAUCCCAGUGCUUAGGAGGCAGAGGUAGGCAGAUGUCUGUGAUUUCUAGGCCAGCUUGUUCUACAGUGAGUUCCAGGACAGCCAGGGCUACAUAGUGAGACUCUGUCUCAAAAAUAAACAAACAAUAAAAUCAGUUUACAAUAACAUUUCUCAUUGUAGAUAAUUCUAAAAAUGCAUAAACUAGCAAUUCUUUUCCCUAUGGUUUGUUUUGGAUCAUAAUUCAAGUCCGUUAUGAUGGGGAAUUCAAGACUGGAGGAACUUGAAGCAUCAGGUCAUCACUUCCACAGUCUAAGACUCCAGCCAGGAAACGGUACCAUCCACAGUGGUUCAGUCUUCUCAACUAACACUAACUAUUACACUGUUAGGGUAUUUUGUUUGUUUGUCAGAAUAGUUUAUCGAGUGUGUGAGAGCGCCAGGGGGCUGGGCAGUAAUUUGAGUACUCCUAUAGCCUACUCUACUUUUUUUAUAAGUUUACCUUUGACCCUUUUUUUUAUUGCAAAACUUUUUCUUGUUUUGAGACUGUAGUCCAGGUUAGUAUAGAACUCAUAAUGUAGCCCAAGCUAUCCUCAAAUUUAUGGGGAUCCUCUUGCCUCAGCUUCCCAGAGUAUUGGGAUUCAAGCAAGUACUAUGCCAGCUUACCACAACCAAUUUUAUUUUGUGUCUGUGUGUAUUUUACCUGGACAUAUGUCUGCACACCAUGUGCAUACCUGGUCCCUGCAUACCAGGAGAGGGCAUGAGAUCCCCUGGAACUGUAGUCACAGAUAGUUAUAAGCCACCAUGUGGGUGCUGGGAACCUACAACUGCCUACCACAACCAGUUUUAAAGGGUUUUCAUCACCUUCCAGAGACGUCUCCUAUCCAGCAACAGUUCUGUGCCUCUUGUCCUUGGUCCCUCUCCCUUACUUCAAGGAAAUGCAAAUGUUUCCUAUAUACAUUGAUUUGUUCUGGACAUUUCCUAUGAGUGAAAUCAGUGUUUGGUGUUUUGUGACCUGAUUAAUCCUGACAUAUUAGUUUCUGAAAAAUUGUAUAAGCUCUGCUUUUGUUUUAUAUUCUAAAUUUUGUAGUACCUUCAAGUUGCACAGAAAUCAUUGUAUCUAUGUCUAUUAAAACAUUAAAAGUAGCUUUUGUGAAGAAAAUUUCAAGCCAGAUGUACUGUUGCACACCUUUAAUCUCAGUGCUUGGAUGGCAGUAGUGUGUUCCAGGCCAGUCUGGUGUACAUAGUGAGUUCCAGUCAGCCAGGCUCACAUUGUGAAACUCUUGUUUCAAAAAUCAAGAAAAGAAAAACUUAAAUGUAUUAAAAACAGUAAAAGUGAAUGUUAUAAUUAAACCCCCAAGUAUUUUUUACUGGUUUCCAAGGUGAUUAACUUGGUACUUUAUGAACAAAAGACCAAUUUUGAUUCAGCCAUAACAUCUCCACACAUAGCUUCCCCUCCUCACAAGAUUUUAAUUUUUUUACAUAAGAUCAUUAUUAUAAACUAAAAUGUGCCUAGUCACAUUGUAGUCAUUGUAACAUAUCAGGCAGUGUAUUAUUUCUUUCUUAAAGAAAAAAAAAACAUUUAUGGGGGAUUGAGAGAUGGCUCAAUGGUUCAAAGUAUUGGAUGCUCUUCAAGAGGACCCAGGUUCAAUCCUAGCACCCACAUGAUGACUCUCAACCAUCUGUAACUCCAGUCCCAGGGAAUCUGAUACCCCCUUCUAUUCUCUGGGGGCACCAGGUGUGCAUGUGGUGCACAGACAUAGAUGCAGGCAAAACACCUAUGCAUAAAAUAAGAAGAAAUAAGUUUUAAAAAAGGCCUUGACUUUCAAUGUUCAAUCAAGAGAUUUAAGAGAUGAAACUAUGAAAAUCAGAAAAAAAAAAAAAACCCUCAGAGAAAA